rnacentral:miRNA from 1 species
GCCGGGUGCCGACUCCUGUAUAGCGACCUGAGACCUCUGGGUUCUGAGAUGGGGAGGUGUCUGGGGUCUUGGUUCAAAGCCGAGGUCUCUGGGUACUGAGCAGCAGC